GACGAACGCUGGCGGCGUGCUUAACACAUGCAAGUCGAACGCUAAAGCUUGGUGCUUGCGCUGUGUUCAUGUGGCGCGCACGUGUGUGUAAUACGUGUGUAAUCUGCCCUUGACUCGGGUAUAUUCCUGGGAAACGGGCUCUUACACGGUAUACGCCACUUCUGCGCGUGGGGGGUUGUGGAGAUUCGUUCGGUGGUUUUGGAUGGGCUCGCGGCCUAUCAGUUUGUUGGUGGGGUAGUUGCUCACCAAGGCAUUGACGGGUAGCCGGCCUGAGAGGGUGACCGGCCACACUGGGACUGAGAUACGGCCCAGACUCCUACGGGAGGCAGCAGUGGGGAAUAUUGCACAAUGGGCGGAAGCCUGAUGCAGCAACGCCGCGUGAGGGAUGACGGCCUUCGGGUUGUAAACCUCUUUCACCAGGGAAGAAGCGAGAGUGACGGUAAUUGGAAAAGAAGCGCCGGCUAACUACGUG
rnacentral:rRNA from 1 species